GACGUAGGGCGCGAGCGUUGUCCGGAUUUAUUGGGCGUAAAGAGCUCGUAGGCGGCUUGUCGCGUCGUCCGUGAAAACCUGCAGCUCAACUGCAGGCUUGCGGUCGAUACGGGCAGGCUAGAGUUCGGUAGGGGAGACUGGAAUUCCUGGUGUAGCGGUGAAAUGCGCAGAUAUCAGGAAGAACACCCGUGGCUAAGGCGGCUCUCUAGUACGGUACUGACGCUGAGGAGCGAAAGCGUGGGGAGCGAACAGG
rnacentral:rRNA from 1 species